AUUCUUAUUAAUUAAGAUGUAUAUAUCAAAAAUAUGCCGACAAAAAUCGCAGACUAAUCUAAUAAAUAUCUGAAUAGUAAGCUAAUAUUCCUUGUGUAUUUCCCACCCCCGUGUAAUUUCCGCUACCCCCUUUGCUGUCCUCGAACGACGCCUCUUUGGCUUUCGGGCAAACUGCAGCCAAAUGAAAUUAGUCAUUGGAGUAGUUGGCUUAAAAGGAGCUGCCUGCGAACGCGACAGAUAUACGGAUGCAAACUCAAUAAGCCAACUAAAUGCAGAAUUCAAAUUUAUCCGCUCGGCACAGAAACUGGCGCACAAUUUGCACACUUUUCGCCAGAUUCAAUUCUCAAAGAGAAGAAACCCUCCGCCUCCUCCUCCUCCUCCUCCUCCCUGCAAAGUUCAGCAAAUUGCCGCCCAUCCGUUCAGAUCCCGAGCCAUGGGAUUGAGUCAUAUAUACCAUCACCAUUACCAUCGCCAUUACCAUCGUUCGUAAUUCUUUGGAGCGGCGUAAAAUCAUUAUUCGUCACGCUCAGAUUGCCGCACUUGAGUGGCCAGGUAGAUGUGUUUGCAUACAACUCUAUAACUCUGUCACACUCACCUGGUCUUUUGCAUUUCGAAGUUGAAGUUGAAGUGGAAGUUCUCAAGGGGAAACCACUGGCUAUGACAGCCGAUGGUGUGAAUCCAUUUUGGGCAAUGGAAAAAUGGUGUUUGCAGGGAAUUCAAACAACUUUAUGGGUCUGAAAGAAGUGAUCUGUUCUACGUGGCAUUUCAUUUAUUUGCUGUAGAUUGACAUAUUUACAAUGCAUUCGAUCGAUUAGCUGGACUAAAUGGUAUCAAAAGUCAUGUGGUUCACCUACAUUCAUUCAUUUUUAUCAGAGAUUAUGAAAUCAGAAUUAAAGCAUUUCAAUGCUUAUCAAACUGGAAUGAAAAUAAAAAUAAAAAAAUAACUGCUGCACCUAAAAA